UGAACGCUGGCGGUAGGCCUAACACAUGCAAUUCGAACGGCAGCACAGUAAGAGCUUGCUCUUACGGGUGGCGAGUGGCGGACGGGUGAGGAAUACAUCGGAAUCUACUUUUUCGUGGGGGAUAACGUAGGGAAACUUACGCUAAUACCGCAUACGACCUACGGGUGAAAGCAGGGGAUCUUCGGACCUUGCGCGAUUGAAUGAGCCGAUGUCGGAUUAGCUAGUUGGCGGGGUAAAGGCCCACCAAGGCGACGAUCCGUAGCUGGUCUGAGAGGAUGAUCAGCCACACUGGAACUGAGACACGGUCCAGACUCCUACGGGAGGCAGCAGUGGGGAAUAUUGGACAAUGGGCGCAAGCCUGAUCCAGCCAUACCGCGUGGGUGAAGAAGGCCUUCGGGUUGUAAAGCCCUUUUGUUGGGAAAGAAAAGCAGCAGGUUAAUACCCCGCUGUUCUGACGGUACCCAAAGAAUAAGCACCGGCUAACUUCGUG
rnacentral:rRNA from 1 species